UAAAUUGAAAUUUAAAUGGAAUUUUAAGACCAAAAUAAAACGCGCGUAAAGGAGGAGGGACUAACUGAGAAAUUAUUCCCUAUCCCAAAACACGUCGUUCCGUAAGAGACUGAAAUGAAACAAAAUUAAAAUCAUAGGGUAUAAAUUAAAAAAAUGAAAAAAGACUGGAUUGAAAUAUCAUUGAAAAGCGAAAGGACCGAAAGCAUAAAUAGACCAUAUAAAAAAACACGCGAAUCCUUGCUAAGGUCGGGUCGGAUUUAUGGUCGGUCUUCAAAACACGCCAUUUUGAAUUAACACUUUGGCAUCGCCUCUUCGCUGGAUGAGUUUUAGCCCGUAAAAAAUAUCCUAAAGUUCAGCAUCAAGGAUCGAGCAAUUACCUAGGUACUUGUUAUAACCUAGGAUCCAUUCUCCAUUUUUGUCGCGCAAAACUCCCUUGUAGCUGCAGCCCCCCUAAGUUCACUGGAACAGCACCAAAAGCAAACCUUUCAAAGUGCUAAAAUAACCGCCAAAACUUUUUUGCAAUCGCUCAAAAAAGAGCUAAACAUUUUUUAAAGUGCUCAAAUAAAGGUUUCUCAAAUAAGUAUAUUGGGUCUCAAAUUAUACUUUUAUUUUUUUUUAUUUUCAAGUAUAUUUGAUUCAAUUGUCUUGUAUUUUAUUUUAAAUACGUUAAAAUUUACUUAAUUUUUACUCAAAUUAAAUUAAAGUACGUGAAAAGAUCAAAUUAAAUUAAAGUACGUGAAAAGAUUUUAUUUAAACAUCUUUUUAUAAAAGUUAUACCUUUAUACGAGCAUUUUAAAAUGUUUGAUAUUAUAUGAGUAACCCUAGGAGGCUGGGCUAAGAUAUAAUCUAUUUAACUUCAAAGCUAUUUUUAGGUCUAUAUUUUAUUAAUUGCAAUAUCAAUAUUUUUCUUGAUAUUAUUUUAAAUGGACCCUUGGCAAAGAGUACGGCAUGUACAGGCCCAAUAUUGCCCGGGCCCAUAAACAAAUAUAACAGCCCAAUAGACCCAAGCCCAAAACUAAACCUUAGCCCAACUAGUCCUAAAAUUUCUCAGCCGACAAACCCUAGCCCCCAAGUUCAAUCGCCCAUACUGUCUGCCAUCGCCCCAUACCCUCUACUCGGCCACCACGCCUCUGUCAUUGCCCUCCACGCCCCUGACCACACCUGCAAAAGAAAAGACAGAAAACCGAAACAAGACACAAACAGUGGUAGAGACAAAGGAAAACAAUAUUUUUCUACUAUUGUAAUCGGCUAUAAAGCCGAGAAGAAAUCAAAACGAAAGGGGGGGAGGAUUUUUGAUAUUUCAAAGGAGGGAAAAACAGAUUGUAUUUUGGAUCGGGGAUUUGAGGGGAAACAGAUUGUAUUUUGGAGGGGAGAAUCGAUUGUAUUUCGGAGGGGGGGGGGGUUUGAGAUACUACAUACUCAUAUUGAAUAAGAGAGUUCAAAAGCAAUUUUUUGGAGAAGGUGAUUUUCGAUUUAAAUCUCUGUAUACUUUUUUUUUGGUUCUUCAUUCUUUUGGGUUCAUCGUUUUUAUGUUUGAAAGCAAAUAAAAAGAGAAGAAAGAAGUUCUUACCUGGCAAAUACGUCAUAAAUCUCCUUUUUGCUUUGUUUAAAUCGAAGCCAAGAAGAAAUUUCAAGGCUGAAAAAUCAUUCCCCAGGCUUGAAUGUGUAGCUUAGUGUUUGGGAGGGGAGAGAAUCGGCAGAAUAAGGGGAAAGUAUAGGGUAUUAGGUUUUUUGCCUUAAUUGUUGUGGCUUGAAGAAAUGACCGAUUGCCAUUCAAUUUCCUGCCAUUUUAAAAUAAAUUGAAACAGUGGUGGUUAAGGGUGGGGACCACGUGUUGACCCAUGCCAUAACCCAAUUGUGCAUUUGUAUGUCAAAUGGGAAAUUUCCAUGAUUAAUCCCUCACUUUUUGCACCACAUUUCAGCAGGCCCCAUUGGCAUCCAUGUGUUUUAUUUUAAUUUUUCCCCAAA
rnacentral:lncRNA from 1 species